UGAACUAUCCAAAAUUUGGUUUUGGGCUGUUUAGAAUUUAUUGUUCACAAAUCUGUCAUUUCCAAGUUUCUCUCUGUUUAUGUUUUAGGUUGAAGAUGGCCCAGAGAGGUAAGCCUUACAGUUGCUAAUCUAGAAGCAUUAGGCAAGAGUGUCUGAGAACGAUGGUAUGAUCUGCAACACAUUCUUUUUUUAUUACUGAUUUAUUACUGACUAUCUAUUUCUUUCUUUGUUGUUAUUCAACAAGUGAGAACUCCCAUUAAUGGGAAUCAAAAGGAAACCCUGAAAUCAUUUUUUAAGGAUGGAAUGACACGAGUUGGUUCAGAAUUAAUACCAAGAGCUGCAUCAGCUACUGGUUUGGACACCAGUGUCGUAGAAAAAGGUUUACUUUUGUGCCACACUAACAAACAACAUGUCAAAUAAAUAUAUAAUUCUGCUGCACUGCUUGUAUAAAUGAAGUGUUUUGUCAACAUUCGGUUUAAUUUGUGUAAUACCCUUUCGCUAUUUUUUGUUUUUCAGAACUGGAUCGGUAAUUACAAAAGAUCACAAAUGACUAAUGCUUCGUCUGAACCCCGGCCAAAGUUCACAUUAGAAAGCUGUCGCCUUACAAUCUUUUUUGUAGGGACAUAUUCAAAAACAAAGGCACAAUGAAUGAUAUUAAGGGCAGGUGCGCCACAUUGGGGGAAGAUGCAAAGCAAAAAUACAUUCAAGAGGCAGCAGCACUGAGGGCACAUGGGCAGGCACAGGACCUAAACUCUGAUAUGAGGGAUGCCCGAUUUAAAAUGCACCUUAAGAAGCUGAAGUUAGAGAUGGAGGCAAUUUGUGCUGUGUCUGCCGCGUCCAUUUUGAUGAUAAGAAGAAGAAUGAAAGAAAGAAGUGGCGUUCAUGGUCUCAGUGCACAGUGUGCCAAUCAUGGUCACACACAGCAUGUGGCUUUAAAAAGAACAUGUGCCUUCACUGCCAGUGUCAAGACACCAUGCAAACACCCUGACGAUGUAUCUUGUUUGGGUUGUUUUUACUGUGUUGACGGCCCCCAACCCAUCCAUACAAACACACACACACACACACACACACACACACACACUCGCAAUACAUACAUAUGCUGCAAAUUUAUUGUAAUGACUACACUUCACACGUAAGAAGAAAAUUGUGAUCUUUUUGUUAUUUUCAUUCAUCCCAAUUUUUAUUUAUUAUUGUUGUUUGUUGGCACCAUCAAUGUGGUCUCCUUUAUACAGGACUUAUGUGGGGACCAAUAAAGUUAUAUUGUACUGAA